GACGAACGCUGGCGGCAUGCCUUACACAUGCAAGUCGAACGGCAGCACGGGUGCUUGCACCUGGUGGCGAGUGGCGAACGGGUGAGUAAUACAUCGGAACGUACCUUAUCGUGGGGAUAACGCAGCGAAAGCUGUGCUAAUACCGCAUACGCCCUGAGGGGGAAAGCGGGGGAUCGAAAGACCUCGCGCGAUUAGAGCGGCCGAUGCCUGAUUAGCUUGUUGGUGGGGUAAAAGCCCACCAAGGCGACGAUCAGUAGCUGGUCUGAGAGGACGAUCAGCCACACUGGGACUGAGACACGGCCCAGACUCCUACGGGAGGCAGCAGUGGGGAACUUUGGACAAUGGGGGCAACCCUGAUCCAGCAAUGCCGCGUGAGUGAAGAAGGCCUUCGGGUUGUAAAGCUCUUUUGUCAGGGAAGAAACACCGGCUCUAACACAGUCCGGGAAUGACGGUACCUGAAGAAUAAGCACCGGCUAACUACGUGCCAGCAGCCGCCGUAA
rnacentral:rRNA from 1 species